AGCUCAGGUGACAUCACAGAACAGGCAGAGGCAGUUCAGGGGGGAUUCUGGUUGCCUUACCCAGCUCUGAAGUCUGUCAGCCUCUUCAGAUGUCACUUGCCCUGUGGUAAGGAAGUGUAGUCGGCAGCUGGUGCCGUGGCAAGAAGAGAAAGGAAGUUCCCCAAGACAAAAACAUCUCGGCAGGUCUGGUCCACAGAGAGGAGAGAUCAGGGAGCUCUUCAGUUGUGCCCAGCCUCCCCUCAUAAAUCUACCUAACAAAGUCCUGAUAAACAGUAUGUUUUCUGGAGUCUAUCAAUAUGGAUGAGGUCUUGUUCUUUUGGCCAGGCUGGAGUGCAGUGGUACAGUCAUCACUCACUGCAGCUUCAAACACCUGGGUUUCAGCAUUCAUCCCACUUCAGCCUCCUGCGUAGCCGGGACUACAGAUCCAACUCUCCUGAAUCACUCUUCAAUUCAUCCUGCUCAUGAUUUUCCCCAUGUUAUCAUCAUUUGUGCUAAUCUGAAGCUUUGGUGAUGCUGCGUUUCCUGUGAGAUUCCUAUGUUGCUCCUGUGAGUUUGUAUUUUCAACCUUCUGAAACCUCCUAUGCAAGAUUUGAUGUUGAUGUUGAUGAUAUCACCCAGAAACAUCGACAGGAGGUUUGCAGACCAAGCUCAUAUACAGGUAAAUGAGGACAAUCACAUUAUGACUGCCUUCUCAUCAAUAGUGUUUUAAAGCUUUCACAUUUAUGAUGCAUCUGUAUUUGAUAGAUGUGAAAAUGUACAUUCUACGAUGACUGGAAUACACUGUUUUCUCUGUGACUGCUGGUUUCUCAGUGUUAAAUUACGGUGCCUCAUUGGCUAUAUUCUUGUUUGUUAUUGAGGAAAUAUGCUUAAAUCUUAUCACAUAAAUUUAUAAACUGCAUUUAUAUUCUACCUGGAAGCUUCACCACUGUCCUCCAUUAAGGAAGUCCAGUUUGUCCACUUCUCAUUAAAGUGAGUGUCCAGAGAGGUGUUAGAAACUGCAUUUAUAAUUUUAGACAUAUUAGAGUUAUUAGUGGAGUACUAGAAUUCUUAUGUCACGUAUGGAAAUAUAGUUCUAUGAACCAUGGUUUGAAAAAUCCAUUGAAGACAAAGAUGAAAAUUGUAAAGAGUUACUUGAAAAAAUUACUGGCUUGGUAGCUCUCUAAAGACUUGGAAAAAAGUAUUUUGAAACUUUAAACUGUAAUCUUAGAAAUAUGAGCAAUGCUUCCUGUAAACUUCAUUACAGAUUCCAU